AUAUUGCUUUAGUUACAUAGACGUUGGG
rnacentral:sRNA from 1 species